AAUCAACGCUGGCGGCGUGCCUAACACAUGCAAGUCGCACGAGAAAGGGACUUCGGUCCUGAGUACAGUGGCGCACGGGUGAGUAACACGUGAAUAAUCUACCUCCGAGUGGGGAAUAACUGAGAGAAAUCUUAGCUAAUACCGCAUAACACUUACGAGUCAAAGCAGCAAUGCGCUUGGAGAGGAGUUCGCGGCAGAUUAGUUAGUUGGCAGGGUAAUGGCCUACCAAGACGAUGAUCUGUAUCCGGCCUGAGAGGGCGCACGGACACACUGGAACUGAAACACGGUCCAGACUCCUACGGGAGGCAGCAGUGGGGAAUUUUGCGCAAUGGGGGAAACCCUGACGCAGCAACGCCGCGUGGAGGAUGAAAUCCCUUGGGAUGUAAACUCC
rnacentral:rRNA from 1 species